rnacentral:rRNA from 1 species
UGAAUAAGGAUCGGCUAACUCCGUGCCAGCAGCCGCGGUAAUACGGAGGAUCCGAGCUUUUCCCCGAAUCAUUGGGGGGAAAGGGUCCGUAGGCGGGACAAUCAGUCAGUGGUGAAAGUUUGUGGCUCAACCAUAAAAUUGCCAUUGAUACUGUUGUUCUUGAGUAAUUGUGAAGUGGUUAGAAUGAGUAGUGUAGCGGUGAAAUGCAUAGAUAUUACUCAGAAUACCGAUUGCGAAGGCAGAUCACUAACAAUGUACUGACGCUGAUGGACGAAAGCGUAGGUAGCGAACAGGAUUAGAUACCCUGGUAGUCUACGCCGUAAACGAUGGUUACUAGCUGUUCGGCUCGAUUGAGGGCUGAGUGGCUAAGCGAAAGUGAUAUUUUUUUUUUUCUGGGGAGUACGUUCGCAAGAAUGAAACUCAAAGGAAUUGACGGGGGCCCGCCCAAGCGGUGGAGCAUGUGGUUGGGGGGGGGGAUACGCGAGGAACCUCCCCCCCCCUUAAAUGCAGUACGACAGAUUGGGAAACCGAUUUUUCUUCGGACGUAUUGCAAGGUGCUGCAUGGUUGUCGUCAGCUCGUGCCGUGAGGUGUCAGGUUAAGUCCUAUAACGAGCGCAACCCCUGUGGUUAGUUGCCAGCGAGUCAAGUCGGGAACUCUAGCCAGACUGCCGGUGCAAACCGUGAGGAAGGUGGGGGAUGACGUCAAAUCAUCACGGCCCUUACGUCCUGGGCUACACACGUGCUACAAUGGCGCAUACAAUGAGCAGCCACUACGCNAGUAGGCGCUAAUCUAUAAAG